rnacentral:rRNA from 1 species
CCUACGGGAGGCAGCAGUGAGGAAUAUUGGUCAAUGGGCGGGAGCCUGAACCAGCCAAGCCGCGUGAGGGAAGAAGGUACAGCGUAUCGUAAACCUCUUUUGUCAGGGAACAAAGGCGGGGACUAGUCCCCGGAUGAGGGUACCUGAAGAAAAAGCAUCGGCUAACUCCGUGCCAGCAGCCGCGGUAAUACGGAGGAUCCGAGCGUUAUCCGGAUUUAUUGGGUUUAAAGGGUGCGUAGGCGGUUUGAUAAGUUAGAGGUGAAAUGUCGGGGCUCAACCCCGAAACUGCCUCUAAUACUGUUGGACUAGAGAAUAGUUGCGGUAGGCGGAAUGUAUGGUGUAGCGGUGAAAUGCUUAGAGAUCAUACAGAACACCGAUUGCGAAGGCAUCUCACGAAUCCGCGAUUGACGCUGAUGCACGAAAGCGUGGGUAUCAAACAGGAUUAGAUACCCCAGUAGUC